rnacentral:lncRNA from 1 species
CACGUUUCUUUUAAGCACUAUAAUGUUUGUUUCUAGAGGAGAUUUUAGAGUCUCAGCUUUCCUUAUUGAUUAAAAAGGAGCACCUCAUCUUUGUGAAAAGGCAAGGUGGUCCCUGCUAUUACCACGAAUAUAUAUUGCAAUAAGCAUUUCCGAAUAAAUAAUAAAUAAAUAUAUCUGUUGCACACGAGAAGUGUAAAAGAGUAAAUAAAUCUAAC